CUCCUCAAAGAAACAACCACAGCGCAGGACCGUCUAACAAAAGAACCUAUACAUUUAACAGGGUUCACUGAGCAGCACUAAUCAGUUAAUGAAGACGUUGUAUGUUUCAUGAAUAUGGCUCUGUAGUGGACUGCUGGAGCUGCUGAUGUCUGUUGCUGGCUGACAAUAAAGUGAUCUCUUUGGACUUACCUCAUGUUUUGAAGGUGUGUAAAUAAGUGAACAAUUGAGGAGAAACAUCAGAAACCGAUCUAAAACAUUCAAUUACUUAUAGUUUAUAUAUUUUAUUUUUUUUCCACUUUUAUUUUCUUCUAAGAAAUCCGAGCCUUGCUCCUGAUCCUGCUGUGCUGGACUGUAUAUGAUUAAUUGAGGUAAGUCUGAGUUUGUGCAUUUUGAGGUUUACACACACACAUAUACAUAUAUACACAUACACACACACACACACACACACACAUAUACACACAGGUGCAUCAAAAAAAACAAAUUAGGAUAUCAUGAAAAAGUGUUUUUUUGUAACUUAUUUCAAAAAGUGAAAUUUUCAUAUAUUCUAGAUUAAUUACAUGUAAAGUAAAACAUUUCAAAAGUUUUUUUUUUUGUUUGUUUUAAUUUUGAUGAUUAGAGCUUACAGCUCAAGUCAAAAAUCCAGUAUUGGAUUGCUGCAGUUAAAGCUAUUGCUAUUCAAAUCAUCAAUCUUAUUGUCUCUAGCAAAACAAAUCAUUACAGCUCCAAGUGAACCAUGUUCGACAGCUCACCAAACUAUUGUUCAGGCUUUAAUGUGUGUUGCUGCAGACACCCGGAAUUUGUACUGUAGGGAUGGUCAUUUAAUUCAACUAAAAUGUAAAUAUUUUUGGCUUUCGUGAUCUGUAAGCUGUAAGCAUUAAGAUUAAAACAAAAAAAUGUUUUACUUUACAUGUAAUGAAUCUAGAAUAUCUGAAAGUUUCAGUUUUUGAAACAAGUUACAGAAAAAAAUUGAACUUUUUCACGAUAUUCAAAUUUUUUUAGAUGCACCUGUGUACAGUAUAUAUACAUACACACGAACACAUACAUACAUAAAUACAUUCAAAUAUACAUACACUGUGUGUUAUUGCAAUAGAUAUUGCAUUGAACUAGUCCACAACCAUUAAUCAGUACGCUAAUAUAACAAAAUACUCAUUUUAAAGAUACUCUGAAUAAAACCAUGUGCUAAAUGAAUAAAUGUCAAUAUUUUGUUAUUAAAUUUUAUGUAAAUCCCUCCUUUUUCAAUGAACUACACAGAAUCUUACACUAACUGUGGUAAUGGAGACCCAUUUGGUGAGAGCAGCACUGCAGAUUUUCCUGAUGGUGAGGAGCUACUUGCUGACGAACCUACCAACAUGAUUUCACCUUAUGUUAAACGUACAGCAAAGUGUACUAUUUUUCUGCUGCAUUUGUUGGGUAUUCAAGAGGAGAUCAUCAAGCUACCUACAGCUGUCUUGAGGCUUAUCAAUUUCUUAAUUUCCUGUGUGAAUUUUCCCAAUCUGUGACCUCCAUUUAGAACAAGAAAGAAUGUUAUCGUUGACUGCGAUGUACAUUAAAUUUGCUCAUUUGAAUUGUACUAUUUUUGAAGUAUGAUUGUUUUAAAGUUCUAAGAUAUUUGAGUCACAUUUAUUUGUUUAUGGUUUUGUCAAGGUGUAAGUUUUAUUUAUUUUUUAUUUAUAACAAUAUUAACACUGGUGUUCCCAUGAAUUUGAUUGUGAUGUGCAGUAUUGGUUAUUUAUUUGAAACUUCUAUGGAUGUUGUUGUUAAUCAAUAAACAAUGUUUGAUAUGUAUUCAUUUUAGUUUUUCUGUUUGUUUAUUAAAAUAAUUAAAUGUCAAUGGCAGGAACAAUAAACUAGAGGGAGGGAGAGGGGAACAAAUAUUAAAGAACUGAAAUUGAGAAAUGGUGCCUCGAAGCACCAAGGUGGUUCCUGACCAUUCUUAAUAAAAGGGUUCCUCCAGGAACCGUUAAAAGUUCCUCAGAGAACCACCCCUUUUUAAAGGGUGCCUAGAGGCUCUACAGAGGGUUCCGCCACAGUGGCGAAGUGAAGAACCCCAAAAGGUGCCUCCAGGAACCUUUAGUUUUUACAGUGUAGUAACCGAACACGCAGUUUGAAUGCUGAAUGGAAGAUGACAGACAGACGCAGCGGAGAGAAGAGUUUACCUCAACUUGAAUUUAACGAAUUAAAUAUUCAUCUGUACCUCAGAUUAAACUAUGCAACAGCUUUAGAACACUUGAAAUAUUGUGCACGAAAACUUUAUGAUGCUUUAUAAUGUUUUUGUGCCUUUCGUGGGGCUCAACAAUAACACAGAAUAGUAUACGCACAAUAUCGGAUUUGGAUCGGUCUCGUCUGACCGAUACCCGAUCCGCAGAAAAUGACCAUAUCGGAGCCGAUACCGAUCCUGAGUAUCGGAUCGAUGCAUCCCUAGACUAGUGUUUGAAGCUUAUUUUUGUAUAGAAUUUAAAAAGUUAUCUAGCUGGCUAGUCAGCUGGCAGUGGCCUCUGGGGAAUCUCCAAAAACACACAAUAAAAAGCCAGUUUAAAGAGCUUGUUGCAAAGUGAUAGUUCCCCUCAACUGUUUUGUAUCAUUGUAACGCAAUGAAAUGCAAGCACUGCUAACGGUUAGGGUGACCAGACAUCCGCGUUUCCCAUUUUUUUGGUGUCCUGUCCCCAGAAAUGUCCCCCUUUUACAGCAUUUUUAAAACACCGCACAAACACACAGCAAAACAGUCUGACUAACUAGACUUUUUAAAUUCCUAUAGAAAAAUUGAAUAGGAAAAACAAAAAAAGUGGACAGGCAGUGUUGCACUCUAAAAUAAUUUAUAAUUUGAGUUGUCGGUUGGAUUUUGUAGGAAAUGUGUUUUACACUGGUUAUUUGUUAUUUGUCAGACUCGGCUAGUAUAUUAAGUGUGUGGGUGCUGCUGUGAGGAUGCUGUAGUGUUUGAAUCUUAUUUUUGUAUAGAAUUUAAAAUAAUAUUAAUUUAAUAACAUUUUCAUCUGUAUGCUUUUUGUGAUUUUUGGUAAAAUAAAAUCAGUCAGGGUCAGUUUAAACCACAAACAUGAUAAUUAUUAAUUAUGGCCUAACAACAGCAUAUGAAACCCACAUCAAUCCCCAUUUUUUUAAUUCAUGAUAAUAACAAGAAAGAUAAAUAUUUUGUCCACUGAAAUAGGAAAUUUUCCUGGUUUUCAUUUUAGAAAUCUGGUCACCUUAACAUACUGGCACUGAAGCAAAAAUAUAAUAACAUACAAACAUAUUUUAUAAACAGCCUUUUCAACAUAUUAUAUGAUAUCAGUUUUACAUGAACAUUAAGAAAGCAUACUCAAAAUGUAACCUACUACACUAGGAUCAAAGCGAUGUUCUAUCAGUAAUAAAUACGGAUGUUCGCAGCACUUCUCCGACUACAUUUGACAUAUAAGUUAAAGAUAUAGUGGGGGUAAAUAAAAACAAAUAUA